CCUACGGGAGGCAGCAGUGGGGAAUAUUGCACAAUGGGGGAAACCCUGAUGCAGCGACGCCGCGUGAGUGAAGAAGUCAUUCGGGAUGUAAAGCUCUAUCAGCAGGGAAGAAAAUGACGGUACCUGAAUAAGAAGCCCCGGCUAACUACGUGCCAGCAGCCGCGGUAAUACGUAGGGGGCACGCGUUAUACGGCUUUACUGGGUGUAAAGGGAGCGUAGACGGCAGCACAAGUCUGGAGUGAAAUGCCAGGGCUUAACCCCGGAACUGCUUUGGAAACUGUGUAGCUAGAGUGCAGGAGAGGUAAGUGGAAUUCCUAGUGUAGCGGUGAAAUGCGUAGAUAUUAGGAGGAACACCAGUGGCGAAGGCGGCUUACUGGACUGUAACUGACGUUGAGGCUCGAAAGCGUGGGGAGCAAACAGGAUUAGAUACCCGUGUAGUC
rnacentral:rRNA from 1 species